CUAACACCAAUAUGUACCAUAAAAUAUCCCUCACGACGUUUUCCAAUUUCCACAACCAACAACUUUAUUAUAUGACUAUUUAAUCACUCUAUCUUCGUAAAUAAACCAAAAGUAAUAUUAAUAAAAGAGACUCAUACCUUAUUCUUGUUAAAACAACAUUAUCUCCGAUAUCCGCUUGAAUCCACGCUAAAACCAACCGUACAACAAUACUAGAAUUACGGUUAUGCGCUACCCGAGCCUCGACUAAUCAAAAUCACUCCAAUGCCUCACUUUUUUUUAUGACAUAAACACCCUAUAUGUUGCUGAACUUUACCAUCUGAUUUUUGAUGAAAAUAAAGGGGUUUUGACACUUUUAUAGGGUGUUGAAAUUGGUGGAAACCGACUUAGUCACUGACCUUCGCGAACGCAAGGGUAUCUUGCGAAUGUGAUGGGCUGGAAUAUUUCUGGCCAUCGCGAACGCUGGCCCCCUGUUGUGAACGCGUAGGAUAAAUCUGCCCAGUUCAGCUAGAUUUUCGUUCUUCACCCGUUCGACCUCCAAUCUUUCCGAUACUUCUCAUACAUGAUCUUAGACCCAUAUGACCAUAAAAUAGAUGCAUAUCACUCCAGAUCACAAUUCAUCUGCUUUCCAAUUCUCUCAUGGCUUACUACAUAAACUAAAUUCUAAUGAUUAUAGCAUAAACACAUGCAAUCGUACCUAUUCUUAAGAGUGACUCCAAAGUCCACACUUGGGGCAGCCAACAUUUACGAAUUCUAGCGUACAGAACUACGGGGUGUAGCAUAAUAGCUUAUCCGAUUCCCACAAUUAAUUUUGUAGUUCCCAUCUCACAAUUUAGCUGUGACCGGGAUGAAUUUAAAUAUACCUAGGAGAGGAGGAUUCUUACCUCAUAUGUCAAUAACUACCCUUCUUCCACCUUACUUUUCUUCAAAGAAAUCUCCGAUUUUCUAGGAUCCGGAGGAAACCAAUGCGGGUAGAACCUCUAUGUUGUUCUUCGCGUUUUUGCUUCAGUUAAAGAGAUUUUUCCCCUCCCCAAGUUGCUGCCCCUAGCGAAUUGGAUACAGACGUUAGAAUCUAAAGGAUUCAAGUUGAGUAGGACCAAGACAGAUUACUUAGAGUGUAGGUUCAGUGGCGUACCUCAUAAGGCUGAUGUGGAAGUAAAGCUUGGUACCCAGGUCAUCCAAAAGAAAAGAAGUUUCAAGUAUCUUAGGUCUAUUUUACAAGAAAAUAGGGAUAUUGAUGAUGAUGUCAUAAAUCGUAUUGGUGUAGGACGGUUGAAAUGGAGGCUCGCUUCCGGAGUGCUGCGUGACAAGAAAGUGCCACCAAAACUUAAGGGCAAGUUCUACAAAGUGGUGGUUAGAUCGACUCUGUUGUACGAGGUAGAGUGUUGGCCAGUCAAGAACUCUUACGUGCAGAAGUUGAAAGUCGCAAAAAUGAGAAUGUUGCGGCAGAUGUGUGGGCACACUAGUAGGGAUAGGAUCAGGAAUGAGGACGUCCGAGAUAAGGUGGGAGUGGCCUCGGUGGAGGACAAGAUGGGGGAAGCGAGGCUGAGAUGGUUUGGGCAUGUGAAGAGGAGAGACAUAGAUGCUCCAGUGUGGAGGUGUGAGAGGUUGGCUAUGGACGGUUUUAAGAGAGGUAGAGGAAGGCCAAAAAAAUAUUGGGGAGAGGUGAUUAGGCAAGACAUGGCGCAGUUUCAGAUUACCGAGGACAUGACCUUAGAUAGGAGGUUGUGGAGGACUCAGAUUAGGAUAGAAAGCUAUUAGGUAAUCUCACUUUUCUUUCGUACUAGUAGGCGUAGUUUUGCUCUACUGUGUAUUGCCCUUUGAUUCAUGCUUUUAUGUGUUGGGUCUUGUCUUUCCAUGCUGUUUUAUCAUGAUUUCUUUGCUCUUAUUAUCUCUCAUUUUCACAUUGCUUUGAUUUGAUUGUCUGUAUCUGACUCUUUUCCCUUAUUUUCUUUUGAGUCGAGAGUCUUUCGGAAAUAGCCUCCCAACCUUCCAAGGUGGGGGUAAGGUCUGUGUACACUGAACCCUCCCCAGACCCCACACUAUGGGAUUCAAUUGGGUAUGUUGUUGUUAUUGUACAUAUAUACUUGUAUGUAUCCGUUGCUGCCUGUAUCUUUGUAAUGAAAUUGUCCUCACUUUUGGAUGUUAUGAAAUAUGUAUAUAAAGUCCUAUACAUCUAUAAAAACGUGCAGCAUUCUCUUUAUCUAGAUAAGAAGUCAACAAAGGGGUAUAAGUGUUUUAAGAAGGGCCCUCCACUAUAGACAUAUGUCAUUUGUUGGGCCUCUUUUCAUUUUGUCAUCAAAUGCUAUGUGAUAUGUGUAGUCCAUGUAGCUACACCUUGUGUUUUCAUUACUUUACUUUUUUGUACAUGUAUAUCCCACUUGUGCCACUUCUCAAUGAUUUAUGUGACAUAGCACUAGUCCAUAACCCAUUUUGGUACACACAAAAUAUUAUUUCCAAUUACCAUCAUUCCAUUUUCGAAUCUUAUAUAAUUUCGGGACUUCAUCCUAACCACCUAUAAGCUUGGGGGUAACCUCGUUUCCCCUAUUACGCCUUUUAACUUGCAGGCUUUCUAACACACAAAAACACGGGAUGUGACACUAAAUCUUUCAGCAACGUCCUCAACACUAGAUGUGAGGGCAUGUAGCAAUCUCUGUAUCACAAUCUGCACUCAAAAGAAUGGAGCAAGGUAGUAUCAAUACAAACACUAUGUCCAGUAGAUAUCAUAGGCCGACUAAGAUUAGCAUCAUCCAUAUCUCAUAAAAUCGAUAGAAUAAACAAGCCAAACAACAUACAUGAAAUAAAUAAACCAUGACAAGUCAACUAAAGACAAUCACUAAUCAAGUCACCUAAACUAUGAAGAACUCAGUCAACAGAAAACCACAAAACGGGAAUAAGUCUACCACAAAUACCAUAAUCACUGUACACACAUGCUAACUAAUGUCAUUGCUCAGUAGUCAUGACCUGCAGGAGACCCAUGAUGUCUACAUACCACUCGUUUCGGAUACUCAUCGGACCCGAGCAUAAACCUCCGCUCUGAAAAGACCUCGGAUACGGGCCACAUCAAUGUAUCCCUCAUUUUCGGAAUGAACGUCGGACCACGAGCCUUAAUCUAGGUCACAUAUGUGCCUUUCCAUAUAUAUGUACGUAACGGUAUUUCCUGCCCUCUUAUUAUUAAGGCUCAAAUCAUCAUUUUGUAUCACAACAUCACUGAGAAGAUCAUAUUAACUUCUCAUCACAAUCACAUCAACUGUAGAUUCAACAUACAUGAAUAGUGGCACGAAGCCUACACAAUCACUCAAUCAAUUUCACAUAGGAGUUCAACCACACAAUAUCAUACAUGAAGACUAGAUAUGCUUUCUCCUAAUGAAUUCACAAUACAUACAAUCAACUAAUCAAAGUCUAACUCAAGUAGACCGUAACCUACCUCAACGUAGAGCUGGAACAACUCAAGUCACUCUGCUACAACUUUUCCGUUCUGUAAAGCCUCGGAACGCUCAAAGUCUAGCACUUAGAAUGCUCAAUGAGUCACAAAUACUCUAAUCACAAAUAUCAAUUCAAGAAUACCCUUCCCUUUACCCCAUUCCAAUGGGUAAAUGAUUUUCUAGGUGUAAAGCAACCUAACAAAGGCCUUAGUAAUCACUAAUCAUCCAAUUAUAACAAUAUUACAUUAACAUUCCAACUACAAAUAGUUUUAAUGGUCAAACUACCAUUUUUAUAGAACCCUAGGUCUCAAUUUACUUAGUUCAUGGCUCUAAGGGUGCAGUUCAUGAUUAAGAGGAGUCAACCCAACCAUUAGAUGAUAAAUAAGUGAUAACCACCAUAACGCAUCUAGUAUAGAACGUUUAUUAAUUCCUAGGGUUACUAUUACAAAUUUCACCAUGGAAGACCCAUUAAAGGGAUGAUAAUUAUGAGGAUGAUACGGAAUGAUUGAAAGGGAUAGAUGAGACUUACCUCUAAAGAGUUUUCUUGCCCUAGCUUAGAAUUUCACCCUAGGUGCUUAUAGGGAACUAUGUUAGAGUAUUAUGAAUAAAGAAUGUGGGACUAAUUUUCUUAAAACACGACAUUAUGCCAUCCGUCAACUGCUGUGGCGGUCAAUUUAGCGUUGCAGCAAUCUCGCUAUAGCGGUCAAGUGCCCGCUACAGCAGACAUAUUAAAACUCGACCAUCAUUAUGGCGGCCCAUAUUCCACUAUCGCUGUUCCGCCAUAGCGACACAUGGCUCGCCACGGUGGACACAUGGACCAUGGCUGACAGCUGGCUGCGAGGGGCUCACCGCUAUAGCGGUGCCGCCAUAGCGGUACAAACCCCGCCGCAGCGGUCCUAUUUUGGCAGUAAGCUUGAUUUUUUCCCAGUUUUCCCCUCUAUCACCCAGCAUUUCAUCCGAGGCCUCACAAACACAAAUAAAACAUGCACAUAUACAUAAAAACGUCAUAUGAAUCCACUCGUGGCCUCAGAAUUUCUAACGAAGUUCUAAUUUUCUACAUCACCCCCCGAUAGACUCAAUAAAAUAAAACAACAAUCACAAACAAGUCAAGUUUUCAGUUCUUAGACUUAUAAAAUUGAGUUUGUAUUAGUUUGUACUACCCUUGGGAAGGUUCUAUUUGUUGGGGUGAUCCUACAUUUUUCAUAAUGACCGGAAGGUCGUUACAUAAUACGCCCUCUCGUUAUCUCAUUUCCAUAUUAGCAUACCAAACGAUUCCUAAAGCCUAUUCCUCUUACCCUUUUCCUCUUUCCCCAAAAAACCCUAGCGUCGCCCCAAUUUUCCUUCUCUCUCCAUGCCAAAAAUGGCAAUAGCGCAGAGACCUCAAGCUUUUUGCAAUCCUUGCACAUCUAUUUUCAUACAACAAUUAAUGUUUCAAUAUUGUUUUCGCUCAAAUUCAUCCAAACACGUCUUUAGAUUGGAGGCACAUGGCUUCAAGAUCCAUUCUUGAGACAGGCUGCACCAACAAAAGGUCCUGCCGCGCCCAAUAGGAAAAUUCUUUCAAAGAUUAUCGAGUCCGAGGAAAGAAAUGGAAGCUAAUAUUGUUAAAGACGCAAAGAAGGCCCAACCAUGGGUGAAAAUCUCACACUAGGGGCUUGGUAUGCCCCUAGUCUUCCUUCUCUUGCAUUUUUAUUUUUGCUAGCUUUAAAAUGCAGUUUUAUUGUAUAUUUGUAUUUGUAUAAAAUUAUAAAAACUCACAUAUUAUAUUGGAAUCUUUAAUUGUUUGAACUAGCUGUCGUAGGACAAUGGUGCCUAUGUCGUUUAGCUGACUUUAGGUCCCCAAAAAUGGAUUUUUAGACCUGCUUAGCGUAAAUCAAUUUUCGAGACAAAAAAUGGAAAAAAUUGUUUCUUUAAAUAUAGUUUUUUUUUUUAGAAUGGAUAAGUGAAAAUAAGUAAAAACCUUUAAACAAUUAAAGCUUUGACAUGUAUGAGUUAAACAUGAACAAAACAUAUUUACAUUUCUCACUUAAUUAUAAACAAUUCUUCACAUCUUUUAUAACAAAUACUAUCCUUAUAUAUAAAAGGAAAUUAUUUAUAUCCGAAUUUUAUAAAUCCGAACCUAAAUACCCUAUAUAUAUAAAAGGAAUACAUUCAAUUCAUAAAUGAUAUGCAAAAUGACAGACUGUAUAAAUGCGAGAAAAUAACACUAAAUAAACAGUUCAUGCAAAUAUGAAUACAUUGGAAUUCGAAGGUCAACCGUAUAGUACGGAUCCUUAAUAUUAGGGUGCCUAACAUCUUUCCUACGGGAUCACCAGAACCCUUACCUAUAACUUUGGAUUACGAAGGCUUUUUCACUGUAUUUGAAUAAAUCCUUCAAAACUGAUUUUCCUAAUUUCUUAUUAGAUGGCGACUCUUUUCAAAACAAAGUCCGAAAGAGCACCAACAAGUUCGAAGUAGAUUUCCGAGCGCUAACCCUGCCUGCGAAAUGCGAACGGUAACAGGUGACGACUUUGCUGGGGACCUAAAAGUUCUAACCAUAAGGAUUCCAGUAUAAUAUGAGUUUAUUUGUUUUAACUGUUUAUGUGUUUAUUUUCCCGCAAUUUGGUCAUUUUGACGUCUUUUCCCCAAAUUAUGCUUUCCAUAGCUUGGAAAUAAUAUUCUUCACUUGCGGGGAUUGGUGGUACGAUUAUAUAAUUACUUAAUGAGUAUGAAUAGUUUAUUCAUAGGAAUAGUGGUUGCGCCCAUAUAAGGUAUAAGUUGGUAAAUAACGUAUUUGACGUAGUGUGUAAAAGUUUUAAAGUGCACAAAAAAGUUAAGUGAACUGGGGAAAGCUAUAAUGAUAAGUUAUUAGGCCAGAUCCACUUCUCAAGACACAUACAUGUAGUGGUCUAGGGUUCCAAAAUAAAUAUAUUUAAUCUUGGCAUGAAAAAGAAAAGAAGAGGAACACUUUGACAUUACAACGGAGGCAAACAACUGAAAGGGAAUUUUUCUCGUGCAAGUAAAUCUUAGGGACAUCAGGUAUGGAGUUAUAUUUCUUUGACUAAAUUAUACUUGUUGAUUAUGCAAUCAUUGCACAAUAAUGGUUAUCAAAGAUUAUAUAAUACUAUACCAUCACAAAUCAUCCAGUUGUUAUCACAUGUGAAAGUAUAAAAGAACUUUUAUUAGCUUUGUAUAUUAUCACAAAGAAGUGACGAUUUCACCAGCAAAAGAAAUGGAAAUGAAUAAGUUAGAGGCAGAAAAAAUUGGAGUCCAUUUGUUAGUUUUCAAACUGAGUAAUAUAAUGAUUAUGGGCUAAUGAUGAGACAAUUAUGAGCUAAUCAUUGAGAAAUAGGAUAGAAUGGAUGAAUAGGGUACAGGUUAAGAUUAUGCACAUCUUAAUUCGGGAUUGAAGUUACUAUUUUGGUAACUUAUUUCAGUUUCACUUUUUCUUAUAAUUCUCAAGUCACAAUUUGUUUUCUUUUAAUAUAUAGUGGGUACACGUAAUUGAUUAUUAGGGUAUCGGAUUAUAAGUCCACUUUCGAACUCCUAGUAUUUGAGAUGUGGGAAGCUAGAUUUUAAUACUAAGUUAAGAUUUUGGGGUAGUUGAAAGUUUUGAACCCCAAGCAAUGAGAAUUUAUGAUUUGAUAGUCCAUUUGUGGAUGGAAUUGACUGAUUUUCUGAAUAUAAGACCCUUAGGUUAUAAGUAAAAUGAUUUUUAAAGAAAAUUUCAGUUUUUCCCUUGUGGGCCCAUGGUCACCUUUCGGGGUGAGUUUUUGGGUUUCGAAUAUAAGUAUAGCAAUAUGGGUGUUCUUAGAUUUGUAUUCUAACGUAGAUUAUAUAUUUGAUAGACUUUGUCCAUUCGGAAGCACUCCGGAAGGAAAAAGCUUUGGUAUGAGAGUUUAUGGCUCCUAUUCAGCAUUGCGAGUUAUUUUCAGGUGAUAUUAGAAGUCUCGCGACAGUUUCGAGGCAUUCGUCAGAGGCAUUUGGAUGAGCUAUUUGAGAUCUUGCAACCCAGAGUCUCUUCUUAGAUUUUUGUUGUUCCUUAUCCUUAAACAGAAGUCAUAUCUAGUUUGAGUCUGUUAUUUACUUCAAAAUGUAAACUUCGUAGAAGCUCUUAUACAAGUCUAGACCAGGUUUUGGGAAUUUUUUAUUAAAAGUAUUUAUUCCGCAUUGGUUUCAA